CAUUCUCUUUUUCUCUAAUUUCUUCUUAAUAUUAUACAGUUUCAUAAUAUAUUUUGCCCCAAUUUACAAAAAGCAAGACUGUGCUAGAUCUCUUUAUGACAGUUUUUUGCUUUUAUUUUGGGUUUCUCAUGAAAACAUCAAACAUGGUCUUAGGCGACCUCCCUUCUUCUCUUCCAUUCCGUCGUUUUUCCUCAAACACUUCGGUAUCUCUCACGCUACACAAACAAAACUCGUCUUCUCUACCUCCGCCGCCACCGCCGUCUUCUUAUGUUCUCCGACUGUCAGCAACUCCAUCCGAAGCCCUAGUUCAGAAAAUAGGCAAAUCUGUUUGCCAUUCCCGCGCGCCUUCAAAUGCCCAGGUUUUUCAAAUAUCAAUUUGGUCCUACCUAAAGAGUAUUGAGAUUAUGAAUCCCUAACUGUUCAAUGGAGAGAAGCAAUAAAAUAAAAACACUUUUUUGUAAUCAUGACAGCCAUUGAUGCUUCUACUGGAAACCGAAAAGAUUGCUUGUUUGACAAGAUUAAUCUUGUUUUUGGAGACCCUUUUUGAAAUUGUAGUGAAAAAAGAUCAUAUAAUUUGUCAAAGGGAGCUUUGGAGUAUUUGCUGUGUAUCGUGAGGAGUGUGGGAUUCCAGAUAAGAGAAGUUCUUGGUUGACACUCUUUGAUGUGGAAGUUCCCACGACUAAUGUUCCAUAAAGUAAAGGCAAGUUCUUGGAUGCAAAUCAGGCUUUAGAAGUUGCUAGAAAUGAUCUAUACUAUAAUUGGAGAACUAGGCAAGAUGUACUUACUCUAAUGCUCCUACACGAAAAGGUACUUCUUUGAAUUAAUAUGUGUAUUGAACUUGGAAACCUGGUAAAAUACAACAUUCACUGUCUUUAUCUAGGUCUAUUGACAAGUUUGUUGCGUUGCUGGUUUCUAUUGUACCUUCCUUAGAGUUGUUUAAAUUUUCUUGAUCUUUAUCGUAUUCUAUGUUAUAUUCUAAUCAGUUAUAAUACAACAUGUACAUUCUUCUAUGGGUGUUUUCAUAGUUAUGCUUCCCUUUUCCACUAGUUCAUCUCUUACAAAAUUUAUUAUCUAAAGGAACAGAAUUGAGGUUGACGACAUGCCCAAACAAUCUCAAGCGACCUCUCAUUUGAAACUCAAUGUGUUCUACUUGAAAUGCUGGAUCUAGAAUUGGAGCUUUCACUAAUAUGACUCCUAGUAACUUCAUGUGUAUAGGUUGCCUAAGGAACUACAUGUCUUCAUGUUUGCAUUCGGUUCUCUUAGUCUUUGUAUAAAUUGCCUAAGGAACAUCAUGUUUUGGACAUCAUUGUGGAUCAGAAGUUCUUCUUGUGUAUUUCAAUCAUUUGUCUCUAUCUUUGUCAGUCCCUCCCUUGUGUAUCUAAUUUCCCUUCACAAGAGAUUUGGCGAUCUCUGGAAUCAGUGCGCCUUAGAAAAUAUGCAGAGUGGUAUAUAUCCGAAAAGUGUGAGAAUGUUCUUAGUCGACUAUCAGAAAAGCAUAUAUGCAAAACUAUGUUGCUGCUCAGCGGCUUAGGUGAUGCAUGUAUACUGAUUAUAUCCUAAAGGUACUCUCUUAAUUCUUUUCAACUUCUUCCUCUUGAAAUUUUGCAUUCCCAGCUGCUCCAACAUGUAGCUUCCUUUCACUGCUGCUGGUAGUUGAUUAUAUGUGUAGAAGUGUUGACUAAAAAGUCUAAUAUAUGACUCAAUUUUGAAAGGUAAUCAGCAGAAUUGGUGUGAGAAUUAUUUCAUGUCUACAAUUUUCCAACAUAAAGAUAAGAUCAUUCCAGUUGUGUGACCGCUGAAUAUAAAGGAAACAGUGAUGAAAAUUUGAACGAUAUUUUUUGCAGAUUAACUUCACUCUCCACUUAUUGAAUUGUUUGGCACCAUAUUUUACUGCACAUUCAUUUUUCCACAGGUUCCAACAUAUAACGAUGGGAAGGGCCUGAUUCAUGAGCUUGUGAGCCUCAUUUUUUAUGUUGCAUACUACCCCACUACAUAAAAAGAAUUCUUAGUAUUGAGCAUAUUAAAUACACGAUUUAUUUCACUAACUUGUAUUUUUAUUUUGAAUGUGCAGGAAAAUGCCGGUAAUUGAAUUUGAAUAGUGGCUAGAAGUAAACUCGAUCCAGUCCAGAGAACAAUGAAGAGUUUUUGUACAAUUAUCAUAUUUGUUUGUAUGCAUUUGGUUGUGGAAUUUAUUGAUAGUAUAGAUCUUUAUGAAAUUGCUUUCUAAGUAUUGGUUGUACAAGACAUGUUUGUCGAAGUUUAUUUUAAAUAUAUACUUUUGAUUUAUUUAUUAGCUAA